ACCCGCAUGGAAAUAACUCCUAAAAAAUAGACCAAAAAUAAUUUUAGUGAAUUUUAGGAGUUUUUCUUUUUUUAGUUGCAUUCCAUGCAUCUUUAACAUUUUAAAAUUCAUAAAAAAAUUAUCACAUUUUUUAUUCCAUGCCAUCUUAAGUUUAAUUUGCAUUUAGGAAUUUAAUUUCAUAAUUUAAUUGCAUUCAUUAAACAAAAAUCACAAUAAAAAAAUUACUAUAAUAGUCAUGUUCAUAUUUUAGCUUUUAUUUUAAAUUAAUUAGUGUUAAAUUAGUAAAAAUAAGUAAGAUUAACUUUACAAAAUAAUUUAAGGUAGAGCGUAAUUUAGGAUUUUAUUUAGAAGGAAUUACAACCCAUGUCACUUGGCCCAAUAGCCCAACCGAAAAUGGCCCACAUUUGAAGCUCUUACCCUAUUUAGCCCAUGUUGUACAUAACUUGAAAGAAGAUUUUCAGCCUUUAGCCCAUUAUUAAAGACAUACUUUUAGAGUUUUUAUUAUUUUCUUCUUUCUUCAUUCCCUUCUCUCUCUCACCGCCUCUCACUUCUUUCUUUCUAACCCACAUAGAUCCCUCAUCUUCUCUUAACCUAGCCCCCGCAUUCCCCCUCCUCUACCCCCCACGUAGUUCUGCCAUUAAUGGCUCGAAGAAGGUCGGGCUCCUACUCCGUUGUCCAUGGUGGCAAGCAGAAGAAUGAAGAAAUUUGAAAGAAACAUGAAAAUACACACAGAUCUGAAAAUAAAUAGCUCUCAAACUUGAUUUGCACCAACAAACAACCACUAAUUUUGGAAAAUUUUGAAGUUCUGGUAAUUUUGGAAGAUUUUGAAGUUUGAAGUUCUGGAAAAUCAUAACUAUGUAGCAGGUUGUAUCGACACUGUAUAAUAGUGUAUAAUUGUGUAUAUGGAUAUACAAACACCUCUUAUACACUAUUAUACAUGUUUAUACAAUAUUGUAUAAUUGUGUAUAAAUGUGUAUAUUUGUGUAUAAUGUUGUAUAGAUAUAUAUUUUUCCAGUAUAAUGUUGUUAGCGUGUAAGAGACCUCUACAGAAGUUUGACACUUCCUUCUCUUCUUCUUUUUCGUGUAUAUGCUAUAUGAAACAGAUUUGUACGCGUUGGAGGAAUUCUACAAUUCAUUUAUCAAUUUUUUUUAUUUUUCUUUUAUCCUGUUGGAUUGCUUCAGCAAUUGCACAUAAAAAUGCUUGAAUUUCUUACCUUCAGAUAAUAUGUAUUAUUCAGGAUAGGAUUUUUGAGUUGCGUUGUGGCUUAUUUGCAUUUUUUUAUCAAAUGCUUAAUAAUCAAAGGAAAUCAAGAGAAUGAAAACAACUGGUUGUAUAAAGAGGGAGCAACAACAGUAGUUGAUUGUGUGAAAUAAGCUGUUUUUCGGGAAUUAACCGAUUAUUUUUGGGCUAUAAAUUUGCAAAGUGAUAUCUAGGCUAUUAUGUUGUAAGUCAGGUGUGUGAGUUAUAUUUAUGUGAAAUUAUCCCUUUUAUUUAGCUUGUUUAAUUAAUCAAACUAAUUUUUUUAAAAUCAAUGAAAGAAAGAAAGAACAAAAAAAAAAGUUAUCUUAUUUUGAAUUGGGCCAAGGCCUGCUCCUUCAGACCUGCUCCUUCACAAAAAGAGGAGCGUCGUUCCCCUCAAAAAGUUCCUGACCUCACUCAGCAAAAAAAAAGAGAGAACAAGAGAAUCAGAAUGAUCAGACCUUCCUUUUUUUUUAGAUUAGAUCAGACCUAAGAGAAGUGACCUUCUCCUUCAGGAAAACAGAGAAACCAGAAACUACUAAUUUCACGAGACUGUUGAUCAUUUUAUGGGUUUUCUUUAAAGCUUUUUGAAUCGAAAUUUUUUGUUGUUCUCUGCUGUGCUCAUCUCGCUAUAGCUGGACUUCAUCCUUAAGAGUUCUAGAUCUUCAUUUGAUCUUUGUUCUGCAGUUGUUUCUGCCUUUAGAUAUGGCGGAUGAUGGAUUUGACCACCUGUUGGUCAAGUUUACCUCUGAAAAAGAGACUCAGCUCCCCAGGUUGUAGUUGCCGAGAUUGAUAAUUCUACAGUUUCUUGUAUGUUCGUGACAAUAUGUAGAAACAGUUGGGUCCUAAUUUAGUUUUAAAAUUCAAAAAUUUUAAUUAGAGGCUAGUGGUUGUAUCGUACUGCCAUAAUUGGUUCAACAUUGAUUAAGCUUUAGGAUUAUUUUUGUUAGAUUCCUUAUUUUAUUUUCUUAAAUGCUUUGGAAAUUAAAGGUCUUCUUGGUAGUUCAGAAUACUUAGAAACGCAUGUACAGAUUCUUGUAUUGCUCUUUAAGUGAUUUAAGCAUUCUGCUUGUCCUAUUCGAGAUAGGUGAAGAUGUUCCAUGGGUUUUAA